GUGAUUGCACCAAACGUGAUGGACAUGUAGUACCAGCUGAAGAACCUGGUGGCCUCUGUCUGCUCUUUCGGAUCUUCCUUGUCGAACUGAUCAGCUCCCAAAGAGGUAAGGCAAGGUGAAGUUUUGGGGCAGAAGGACUGAUUUCUCGUGCACGCUGGGGGUUUAAACGCUUUCACGGUUGCUGUAAGUGAGGUAGAUGACGAGGAAAACUGCUGCAGUCCAGAAUCUUCCAAGGACUCUGGUGAGGUAGAGGAUGAGGUUCGUGCAGACUCCAAAGUAGCCAACGGCCGCAAAUCCUUGUGUUCCUAGAUCAGCAAAGUACAGCAAUAAGCAACAAAGCCUGUAGCCAGCGCUCGAUAGCGCUCGAAUAUCAUCGCUAUCUUAUAUUCUAUAAGCACUCAGAAAGUUUAGGAGGAUUCUGGCAACUCAGCUGAGGGGAAGGAAGAAUACCAAGGAUAAGCGAGGAUGUAAACCAUCCACCGGUUUUGCAUUUCACAGCAGGCCUUCCGAACAGAUCCAGAGUUCCAUCGCCAGUAGCUUCCCGG